rnacentral:SRP_RNA from 1 species
GUGCCGAGGUCGAUGCCCAUGGAGAAGCUCUUCUUCUUCUUCUCCCCGUCCCCGGAGUCAUCCAGCGGCGCCUCGUCCGCCAUGGCGGGCGGACGCCGAGC